GACGUAGGGCGCAAGCGUUGUCCGGAUUUAUUGGGCGUAAAGAGCUCGUAGGCGGCUUGUCGCGUCGACUGUGAAAACUCACGGCUCAACCGUGGAACUGCGAGUCGAUACGGGCAGGCUAGAGUUCGGUAGGGGAGACUGGAAUUCCUGGUGUAGCGGUGAAAUGCGCAGAUAUCAGGAGGAACACCGGUGGCGAAGGCGGGUCUCUGGGCCGAACUGACGCUGAGGGAAGCGAAGGGCGUAGGGAG
rnacentral:rRNA from 1 species